GUAUAUUUGUUUGUAUCACAGUCACUUUGUUUGUUGGUAUAUUUAUUUCCAUUCAGCUGAAUUAAUUAUUUCACAAAUGUUUGCUUAUUGAUGGCGCAUUUUCGUUAGACUGCUCUGCAAGUAACGGUUAAUGUGCUAGAGGUGGUUGAAAAUCGAUUGAUCAUAUCGAUAACAUACAAUCAAGUUGCAGAGGGUUGCCAGAUUGUUCGAAUCAGCAGUUGCGUUGCUAACAUUAAAGGCAUGCCGCUAAUCUUUUGAAUUUGAUUGCCUGAAAUUUGAAUUCCGUUCAGCCAUGCAUUUAUUAAAGAUAUGUACUCGAAAUGUAGAUAUCCUAAUCUUUUACAAACUAUACCUGAGCAACUCGAGCAGAGUUGGCGCUGCCGCCUCUAAGGAUGCGUCUGUUUGCCCAGACGCAGCGAGGGGCGCCGCAAGCCGGUGGCAGCCACUGCCGUGGACAGACGUGGCAGUCGCGCAUUGACUGGCGGACCCAUUAGGCGAUCUGGUCCCUCGGCAAUCACAUGCUCGGCAUGACCCUCGAUGGCUGGCAAAGGCGAGGCUGGCGACCAUUCCGAGCUGGAGCUGGAACCAGAUAUUUGCAUGUGACACGUUGUUCUGCAGUUGACAAUGAGCGUUGCCUUUUUUAAAUUAAAUUCAUUAUCUUUCAAUAUCGUGGAACCCAGCACAGCUGCUGACCUUAGUGUCAGUCAGUCCGUCAAUCGGUCAGUCGAGCAGUCAGCACUUUACACCUGAACACAACCAACCCACAAUUUCGCUUUCUGUAAUUAGUUAAUUUCCUUAAAAGCGCAUCAAUUAUAAAGCGUGAGGGCGGCAUAAGUGAGUGAGCUUGUUGUGCCAACAAGCGACAGUAAAAGCGAUGAAUAAUUUAUUUUGUUUUAGCCUCGAUAUCAUAAAUAUGUC